rnacentral:rRNA from 1 species
UGGGGAAUUUUGGACAAUGGGCGAAAGCCUGAUCCAGCAAUGCCGCGUGUGUGAAGAAGGCCUUCGGGUUGUAAAGCACUUUUGUCCGGAAAGAAAUCCUUGGCUCUAAUACAGUCGGGGGAUGACGGUACCGGAAGAAUAAGCACCGGCUAACUACGUGCCAGCAGCCGCGGUAAUACGUAGGGUGCAAGCGUUAAUCGGAAUUGCUGGGCGUAAAGCGUGCGCAGGCGGUUUGCUAAGACCGAUGUGAAAUCCCCGGGCUCAACCUGGGAACUNCAUUGGUGACUGGCAGGCUAGAGUAUGGCAGAGGGGGGUAGAAUUCCACGUGUAGCAGUGAAAUGCGUAGAGAUGUGGAGGAAUACCGAUGGCGAAGGCAGCCCCCUGGGCCAAUACUGACGCUCAUGCACGAAAAGCGU